CGCGUAUUUUGCCCAGGCGGAGCUCGACCGCCGGUUCAAGCGAUGAAGACGUUCAUUGACGAACACCGAGCCGACUAUGGGGUCGAGCCGAUCUGCAAGGUGCUGCCGAUCGCCCCG
rfam:Acidocella aminolytica 101 = DSM 11237 DNA, contig: Aam_098.